AGCGAACGCUGGCGGCAGGCCUAACACAUGCAAGUCGAACGAAGUCUUCGGACUUAGUGGCGGACGGGUGAGUAACACGUGGGAACGUGCCUUUAGGUUCGGAAUAACUCAGGGAAACAUGUGCUAAUACCGAAUGUGCCCUUCGGGGGAAAGAUUUAUCGCCUUUAGAGCGGCCCGCGUCUGAUUAGCUAGUUGGUGAGGUAAAGGCUCACCAAGGCUACGAUCAGUAGCUGGUCUGAGAGGAUGAUCAGCCACAUUGGGACCGAGACACGGCCCAAACUCCUACGGGAGGCAGCAGUGGGGAAUCUUGCGCAAUGGGCGAAAGCCUGACGCAGCCAUGCCGCGUGAAUGAUGAAGGUCUUAGGAUUGUAAAAUUCUUUCACCGGGGACGAUAAUGACGGUACCCGGAGAAGAAGCCCCGGCUAACUUCGUGCCAGCCGCCGCAGUAAGAC
rnacentral:rRNA from 1 species